GAUUUCUGGUUGGAGAUCCCUCUCUUGUGGUGCUUUUCCUGUAAGCCUGGAUCUUCAGAGUUCACAUCUAAAUUACAGUCUGGAGCCCUGCAAUUAGUUGCAGCAAUUCUUCUUCCACUCCCUACAAGCACAGCAAACCCUUCUUCAGCCUCAUGACGGCCCUCUGCAUGGCAGCCCAGCUAAGUAAAGACUCCACCUCUUUGUGUUUGCCUCCCACGCCACGACACCCACACAGCUGCCUUCAACACCGAGAUAGGAGAAGCAAUGAUCAGCUGAAUCCCUGGCAAACAUGCUCUUGUUUCUGAACUGUGUGUAUCAGAGUAACCCUGCCCUCCCUCCUCUGCUCUGCUGUGAUUAACUGACCUUGUCCUGCUACCUGUCAAUUGCAAGAUAGGAUUUAGAUAAUUUUAUGUAUCUGAAUAGCAGAAAUUGAGCUUGAAACCCAGACAGAAUUGCUUUUGCUCAUGUGGCUGUGCAAAUCCCUCUGCUGUACCCAGCAAGCAAUCUCAGCUUGUUUCAUAGUGAGAAGAUACGCAUUUAAUCUUUUAGUUUAUUACAUCUUUCACUAGAAAUAGUGCUUAUACUAUCAGAUGCUGUUCAAGUAUUUAUGUUUUUCGCCCUCAAGAAACGUUUAUUUUCCCUUACUAUGUA